rnacentral:rRNA from 1 species
CCGCAAGGGGGAGCGGCGGACGGGUGAGUAACGCGUGGGAAUUUUCCUCAAGGUACGGAACAACUCAGGGAAACUUGGGCUAAUACCGUAUGAUGUCUAGCGACCAAAGAUUUAUCGCCUUGGGAUAAGCCCGCGUCAGAUUAGGUAGUUGGUGGGGUAACGGCCUACCAAGCCUGCGAUCUGUAGCUGGUCUGAGAGGACGAUCAGCCACACUGGGACUGAGACACGGCCCAGACUCCUACGGGAGGCAGCAGUGGGGAAUCUUGCGCAAUGAGCGAAAGCCUGACGCAGCCAUGCCGCGUGAAUGAUGAAGGUCUUAGGA